AGUUUCUCCCAUUUACCAGGGACCUUUUGAUAAUGUCCCGAAUAAACCAGAUAAUAAUUUGUUUUGGUUUAUUGGGGACUUUAGAGCCGCAAGUGUCCCCACAUCAGGUAGACCAUAAGGGAAGUGUAUGUCAACAAGAUGUUCAAAUAAAUACGGUCUAUUUUCUUGUUUUGAAAAUAAGAAACAGCUCUAAUGUGCAUGCACUAGAACUGUGAACAAUAAACUAGUAAUGUGAUCAAUUGAA